rnacentral:rRNA from 1 species
GAUGAACGCUGACAGAAUGCUUAACACAUGCAAGUCUUUGGCGAAGCUGUGCUUGCACAGCCUAGCCAAGGCGGACGGGUGAGUAACGCGUAAGGAACUUGCCCUGCAGUCAGGGAUAACAGACGGAAACGACUGAUAAGACCUGGUAAAGUCAGGCGGACUCAUGUCCAGCCUGAUGAAAAGAGAUGCUGCAGGAGAGCCUUGCGUCCUAUUAGCUUGUUGGUGGGGUAACGGCCCACCAAGGCGAUGAUAGGUAGCCGGCCUGAGAGGGUGGACGGCCACAAGGGGACUGAGAUACGGCCCUUACUCCUACGGGAGGCGGCAGUGGGGAAUAUUGGACAAUGGGGGCAAUCCUGAUCCAGCAAUUCUGUGUGCACGAUGAAGGUUUUCGGAUUGUAAAGUGCUUUCAGCAGGGAAGAAAAAAAUGACGGUACCUGCAGAAGAAGCGACGGCUAAAUACGUG